GAUGAACGCUGGCGGCGUGCCUAAUACAUGCAAGUCGAGCGAACAGACGAGGAGCUUGCUCCUCUGACGUUUGCGGCGGACGGGUGAGUAACACGUGGAUAACCUACCUAUAAGACUGGGAUAACUUCGGGAAACCGGAGCUAAUACCGGAUAAUAUAUUGAACCGCAUGGUUCAAUAGUGAAAGACGGUUUUGCUGUCACUUAUAGAUGGAUCCGCGCCGCAUUAGCUAGUUGGUAAGGUAACGGCUUACCAAGGCAACGAUGCGUAGCCGACCUGAGAGGGUGAUCGGCCACACUGGAACUGAGACACGGUCCAGACUCCUACGGGAGGCAGCAGUAGGGAAUCUUCCGCAAAGGGCGAAAGCCUGACGGAGCAACGCCGCGUGAGUGAUGAAGGUCUUCGGAUCGUAAAACUCUGUUAUUAGGGAAGAACAAAUGUGUAAGUAACUAUGCACGUCUUGACGGUACCUAAUCAGAAAGCCACGGCUAACUACGUG
rnacentral:rRNA from 1 species